rnacentral:tRNA from 1 species
AAUAAAGUGCCUGAAAAAGGAUUAUCGUGAUAGGAUAAAUUAUGUAAUAGUCAAAAAUUACCUUUAUUA